AUUGAACGCUGGCGGCAGGCUUAACACAUGCCAGUCGAGCGCGCGGCGGACGGGUGAGUAAUGUCUGGGACACUGCCUGAUGGCGGGGGAUAACUACUGGAAACGGUCGCUAAUCCCGCAUACCAUCAGAUGUGCCCAGAUGGGAUUAGCUAGUUGGUGGGGUAAUUGCUCACCUAGGCGACGCUCACUAGCUGGUCUGAUAGGAGGACCAGCCACACUGGAACUGAGAAACGGUCCAGACGCCUACGGUAGGCAGCAGUGGGGAAUAUUGCACAAUGGGCGCAAGCCGGAUGCAGCCAUGCCGCGUGUGUGAAGAAGGCCUUCGGGUUGUAAAGCACUUUCAGCGAGGAGGCGUUACUCGCAGAAGAAGCACCGGCUAACUCCGUGCCAGCAGCCGCGGUAAUUC
rnacentral:rRNA from 1 species